rfam:Gasterosteus aculeatus cont1.003108, whole genome shotgun sequence.
AAAAAAAAGCAAUGUAAGUCGCUUUGGAUAAAAGCGUCCGCUAAAUGAUCUGUA